rnacentral:rRNA from 1 species
GAUGAACGCUGGCGGCGUGCUUAACACAUGCCAGUCGAACGGAAAGGCUCCUGCUUGCAGGGGUACUCGAGUGGCGAACGGGUGAGUAACACGUGGGUGAUCUGCCCUGCACUUCGGGAUAAGCCUGGGAAACUGGGUCUAAUACCGGAUAGGACGAUGGUUUGGAUGCCAUUGUGGAAAGUUUUUCGGUGUGGGAUGAGCUCGCGGCCUAUCAGCUUGUUGGUGGGGUAAUGGCCUACCAAGGCGUCGACGGGUAGCCGGCCUGAGAGGGUGUACGGCCACAUUGGGACUGAGAUACGGCCCAGACUCCUACGGGAGGCAGCAGUGGGGAAUAUUGCACAAUGGGCGCAAGCCGGAUGCAGCGACGCCGCGUGGGGGAUGACGGCCUUCGGGUUGUAAACUCCUUUCGCUAGGGACGAAGCGCAAGUGACGGUACCUGGAGAAGAAGCACCGGCUAACUACGU